GAUGAACGCUAGCUACAGGCUUAACACAUGCAAGUCGAGGGGCAGCACAGUGUAGCAAUACACGGGUGGCGACCGGCGCACGGGUGCGUAACACGUAUCCAAUCUGCCCGUUACUCGGGGAUAGCCUUCUGAAAGGAAGAUUAAUACCCGAUGGCAUGUAUUUCCGGCAUCGGAGAUGCAUUAAAGAUUUAUCGGUAACGGAUGAGGAUGCGUACGAUUAGCUAGUUGGCGGGGUAACGGCCCACCAAGGCGACGAUCGUUAGGGGUUCUGAGAGGAAGGUCCCCCACACUGGAACUGAGACACGGUCCAGACUCCUACGGGAGGCAGCAGUGAGGAAUAUUGGUCAAUGGUCGAGAGACUGAACCAGCCAAGUAGCGUGAAGGAUGACUGCCCUACGGGUUGUAAACUUCUUUUGUUUGGGAAUAAAGUGAGGCACGUGUGCCUUUUUGUAUGUACCUUACGAAUAAGCAUCGGCUAAUUCCGUGCCAGCAGCCGCCGUAACAC
rnacentral:rRNA from 1 species